rnacentral:rRNA from 1 species
GAUGAACGCUGGCGGCGUGCUUAACACAUGCAAGUCGAACGAACCUUCGGGUUAGUGGCGGACGGGUGAGUAACGCGUGAGAAUCUGCCCUCAGGAGGGGGAUAACGGCUGGAAACGGCCGCUAAUACCCCAUAUGCCGCGAGGUGAAACGAAUUUCGCCUGAGGAUGAGCUCGCGUCUGAUUAGCUCGUUGGUGGGGUAAAGGCCUACCAAGGCAUCGAUCAGUAGCUGGUCUGAGAGGAUGAUCAGCCACACUGGGACUGAGACACGGCCCAGACUCCUUCGGGAGGCAGCAGUGGGGAAUUUUCCGCAAUGGGCGCAAGCCUGACGGAGCAACGCCGCGUGAGGGAUGAAGGCCUCUGGGCUGUAAACCUCUUUUAUCAAGGAAGAAGAUCUGACGGUACUUGAUGAAUAAGCCACGGCUAAUUCCGUGCCAGCCGCCGCAGUAA